CGCGCGGCGGCGCCAUGGCGGGUGCCUGGCCGCAGGGAACGGCCACUCGGCCCGCCCGGGGCUCGAGCGCGGUCUUGGACCGCCCGGUUUUUGGUUCCGCAAAGGGCUCACAAAGUGCCACCCUGGUGGUAAACCGUUUGAGGUGUGGUUGACGCCGGAAACCUCAGGGGCAUGAGGCCAGCAGCCGACGAAAAUCAGGCUCUGGUGGCUGCUCUAAUGGGCAGCUGCAUGGACCAGACUCUCUGCACCUGGUUCUGAGAAAAGCACACACUAUCUAGACUCAGCUGCCACCGGCUUGUGAAACCAGUGAAGAGAAGGAGGAGGACCAAAAAAAGCCACCUUUGUGCUAGAUUCUGGAGGUCACAGCAUUCCCUGACCAAGAGUCCUUGCUGCCUCAAAGACCACAUUCACUCCAGGAUGGGAAGGAAAAUCCUUUCUGGCUUUUUCCUUAACAUGUUUGACUUCCCUAAAGGCUAAUUUUAAUAAAAAUUCUGAAGCUCAGAGUUAAUGGAAAUAUAGAUCAUCUCAUUUAUGUAUGCUUAUCUUAAUUCAU